rnacentral:rRNA from 1 species
GACGAACGCUGGCGGCGUGCCUAAUACAUGCAAGUCGAGCGAGCGGAACCAACAGAUUUACUUCGGUAAUGACGUUGGGAAAGCGAGCGGCGGAUGGGUGAGUAACACGUGGGGAACCUGCCCCUAAGUCUGGGAUACCAUUUGGAAACAGGUGCUAAUACCGGAUAAUAAAGCAGAUCGCAUGAUCAGCUUUUGAAAGGCGGCGUAAGCUGUCGCUAAGGGAUGGCCCCGCGGUGCAUUAGCUAGUUGGUAAGGUAACGGCCCACCAAGGCGACGAUGCGUAGCCGGCCUGAGAGGGCGGACGGCCACACUGGGACUGAGACACGGCCCAG